UGCACUAGUGACAUUUCCUGAAUUGGGUGA
rnacentral:piRNA from 1 species